CUAGUCAUUUCCAAUGCUCCAGAAUGUUCUGUCGAUAACUUUCCCUGAGAUCUUUAUACUUUCUUUUGAUAUCUGUUUUAAUUGCUUUUCUGCACAUCUCUCCUUUAAUCUGGCUCCCUAAGCCAAGUUCCUACCGAGACAAAAGCAUGGCCUUCCAGUUCUUCUCCCCUCAGAUAAGUAUCUUCUUAUUUCUUGAGCGCAUUCUUUGCUAAUCUAUGAGCAUAUGAGUUCUAAGAUCUGUGAAUAUAUUAAAAAAUAAGUUCUUAAAAAUCAGCUUUCUUUUUCUGAAUAUCUCUGAUAAUGGCUCCGAUUAUUGACUUGUCUGUUGAAGUUGCUUGACAUUUUUUUAUUACUGUUUUUGAAUCCCCCAUAAGUCUGACUGAUUGGAUUCUAAGUGAACUCCCUAAUUUUGUACCUUCUAAGCAUGCAUAUGCCUCUGCUGUGAAAGGUGAUGGGACAUUUCUAUGUAUAACCGUCUUUAACACCAUUAAGUUUCCCCUCAGAUCCCACCCUACUAAACCUGACGCUGAUCUGAAGGUUCUGUUGUUAAACGCUGCAUCAAAAUAGAUUCUCAUUCUCGUGUUUUUCCUCUCGUGUACCAGUUGAUUUCUGGAGAACCAUAACAGCUAUAGAGCGUAACAGAAGAGUAGACAUUGGCCAUUGUUACUUCUCUUGAAAACCCAGUUGUCAUAGGGCAUUCACGGAAGACGUGGGCACUUUCUUCAAUCGCCAAAUAGCAUCGGGCACAUCUAUCAUUGGAAAUGACCCUCCUAUACCUAAGAUUAGCAAAAUUUGGUAUAAAGUCCCAGGAUAUCUGCCAGACUGUAAAUGCAAUUUUUGAGGGCAACUGUAGGCUCCAAAGUUUCUUGUAAAGUUCUUUUAAUUCGGUCUGUAUUAAAUAGUCAUUAGGUACCCGAUUAACAUCUUCUAAUAGUUUAUAGGCACUGCGGACCGAAAACUCACCAGAUAGUUCUCCUUUCCACACCUGAAUAUCCUCAUGCUCAAUCGCUGCUAGGGGGAUCUGCAGAAUUUUCCUAGCAAUUUCCUCUUGAAAGUUAUCUUCUCAUAUGGAGAUGCUAUCCCCUGUACCCACCCUCCAGCUCAUCCCUUUUUGGAGAAGACCUUUUGCUGCUCAGAUACUCUUCCAGGUAAAAGAAGGACUUGAAAAUCGAAGGAACUCUCCCGCCUUCUAGAUGACAAAAAGGGAAUAUCCUACAGACGACGAACACCAAGACUUGAAAAUAAUAAAAAAACAGAACGAAAAACAAAAAACCUAAAAACUCAUGCCAAAGGCGACAGACAAAGCG